ensembl:lncRNA
UCAGUGGUCGGUAUCGGCCAUGGGUGGCCGGUUGGACGGGGUGACCUUAGAAGUCUUUUCCAACCUUAAUGGUUCUGUGCUUCUAUAUCCUUAAAACUACGUGUGUCCAACCUGCUGGAUUUACGGCUUGCUGCCUUUUUUUGUGUGUGUUUUAAUAACUAGAUAACAUAAAGUCUCAUUAGUUGUAUUCAUUUGUAUGUAUAUGAAUUACCUAUUUAUAGGUGUCCCAUGAUGGUUCCCCUUCUCACAGUGCAGCCCAGGCCACUGGAAGCUUUUACCUGGGACGAUCAGCAGCAUUUCAGGCUGAUAAUGGCACCCGUUUGCUUUGCUUUUUGCUGCAAGAGCUGAGCCUGGAGCACUGUCCAGGAAAACAAAAGAAGAAAUCAUACCUGCCGUGGCCCUCGGAGCCUCGG